rnacentral:rRNA from 1 species
UACGUAGGAUGCGAGCGUUAUCCGGAUUUAUUGGGUUUAAAGGGUGCGCAGGCGGCACGGCAAGCCGGCGGUCAAAUCGCGGGGCUCAACCCCGCCCAGCCGUCGGAACUGCCGGGCUAGAGUGGGCGAGAAGUGCGCGGAAUGCGUGGUGUAGCGGUGAAAUGCAUAGAUAUCACGCAGAACUCCGAUUGCGAAGGCAGCGCACCGGCGCCCUCCUGACGCUCAGGCACGAAAGCGUGGGUAUCGAACAGG